rnacentral:rRNA from 1 species
AGCAGCCGCGGUAACACCAGCGCCACGAGUGGGGAUCAUGCUUAUUGGGCCUAAAGCGUCCGUAGCCGGUUUGAUAAAUCUUUUGUGAAAUUGUCGUGCUUAACAUGACAGCGUGCAAGAGACACUAUUUAACUUGGAACUGGGAGGAGUCAGAGGUAUUCUAGGGGGAGCGGUAAAAUGUUAUAAUCUCUAGAGGACCACCUGUGGCGAAGGCGUCUGACUAGAACAGCUUCGACGGUGAGGGACGAAUGCCAGGGAGCAAAACGGAUUAGAUACCCGAGUAGUCCUGGCUGUAAACUCUGCGAGCAAGGUGUUGCAUAUCUUUCGUGGAUGUGCAGUAUCGAAACGAAGGUGUUAAGCUCGCCGCCUGGGAAGUAUAGUCGCAAGACCGAAACUUAAAGGAAUUGGCGGGGGAGCACCACAAGGGGUGCGGCGUGCGGUUUAAUCUAACUCAACACAGAGAAUCUCACCAGCAGCGACGGUAGAAUGAAGGUCAGAUUGAAGGUUUUACCAGACAAGCCGAGAGGUAGUGCAUGGCCGUCGUCAGCUCGUGCCGUAAGGUGUCCUGUUAAGUCAGGCAACGAGCGAGACCUGUACCUACACUUGCUAACGAAUCUUUUAAGAUGUUUGAGCACAGUGUAGGGACUGCCUUCGAAAGAAGGAGGAAGGUGCAGGCUACGGUAGGUCUGUAUGCUCCGAAUCUGCUGGGCUACACGCGCGCAACAAUGGUAAGGACAAUGGGACGCAACUCUGAAAAGAGAAGCUAAUCCUCGAAACCUUAUCUCAGUUCAGAUUGAGGAUUGUAACUCAUCCUCAUGACGAUGGAAUCCCUAGUAAUCAGAAGUCAUCAGCUUCUGGUGAAUAUGUCCCUGCUCCU